rnacentral:snRNA from 10 species
AUACUUACCUGACGAGGACCAUACUGGGAUCAGGCAGCCAGUGGGUCCAGGGCGAGGCUUUGCCAUUGCACAUCGGCUUAGCUGACCCUGCGAUUACCGAAUU